UGGGGAAUAUUGCACAAUGGAGGGAACUCUGAUGCAGCGACGCCGCGUGAGUGAUGAAGGAAUUCGUUUCGUAAAACUCUGUUCUAUGGGAAGAAAAGGACUGUACCAUAGGAGAAAGCUCCGGCUAAAUACGUGCCAGCAGCCGCGGUAAUACGUAUGGAGCGAGCGUUGUCCGGAAUUAUUGGGCGUAAAGGGUGCGCAGGCGGCUUUACAAGUUGGAUGUGAAAUAUUGUGGCUCAACCACAAACGUGCAUCCAAAACUGCAAAGCUUGAGUUAAGGAGAUGUAAGUGGAAUUCCUGGUGUAGCGGUGGAAUGCGUAGAUAUCAGGAGGAAUACCGGUGGCGAAGGCGACUUACUGGCCUUAAACUGACGCUCAGGCACGAAAGCGUGGGGAGCAAACAGG
rnacentral:rRNA from 1 species